GUGCAAUCAUGAGAUGAUUUCUUGAUGAAUUCGCUAUCCGGGACGGAUCGCCAGUCCGUCGCCUGAGAGGAGGAUGGUAUUUUACCGGACGGUUGCUCGCCUGGCAGUCUUUAUUUAGUACUAUUGUCGGUAUACCUAUGUUAUAGGCCAAGUGGCCUGUGUAGGAGAGAAAUUCCUUAACAGUAAGGCAGCCUUGCUCCAGCCUUUCAGUCGCCGCUCUUAUGUUCUGUCCUGCUGCACAUAUAGUGGACGACGUGGCCUUAAGGUGGGGCGCUCCAACUGCUGUUGAUAUUUUUGGCUAUAAAUACCCUCAAUUUUCAGGAGUACCUCUGUAAUUAAAAAAAAAAAAUUAUUUCUAUAACUAAUUAACUAUUUUGUAGCAAGUAUUUCGAUUUACUUGUAAAAUUCCAAAUUCCCGGUCUUUGUUGUAUUCAUUUGUUGGUUUAAAAUUCUGUGAAAGACCUCCUGAUCAUUGUUUGUCCUCCUGGCCUGUCCGUAACGCUAAAAUUCUGCGCACCGGUUCCUAUAUUUUUUUUAACCCCAGAGCAUUUCAUAUACAUAAAAAUAAAUUCAGUAUUUUGGAGUCGAGAGCGUUUUAAAAGUUUAUAGCUGUGAUUGCCGGAGAGAUGGCGGCUUCUUUUAACCAGACGAUUUUUUGCCCGGCAACAGUGAGUGCCAAACACACUAAUGCCUUACCCACUCUGCCAUUUCCUCUCCACUAUGUACAAAGGUUUGCAGUACUAAACACUUACGGUUCAUCCACUGGUUCUCGAAGUAAUUAAUAUAUCGACGAGCUAUUUGUUCGUUUUCCGCGUGACUACUCUCUUCUUUGAUCAGGUUAAAACCCUCGGCUAUGUGCUCGACCGGUAAAAGGGCCAGAGCCUUCGACAUGCGGAACAUGUUAUGCAAUGCCAAGUCGUUACGAUAUUCACGUCGCCGCAUGCCAAACUCUUUACCAUUUUUCUAAAGUGCCUAUAAAUUACCAUAAACAUUUUUAAAUGGCAACACACGAUGCUAUAUUUUU